AUACGUAGGGUGCAAGCGUUAAUCGGAAUUACUGGGCGUAAAGCGUGCGCAGGCGGUUUUGUAAGACAGAGGUGAAAUCCCCGGGCUCAACCUGGGAACUUCCUUUGUGACUGCAAGGCUAGAGUACGGCAGAGGGGGGUGGAAUUCCGCGGGUAGCAGUGAAAUGCGUAGAUAUGCGGAGGAACACCGAUGGCGAAGGCAAUCCCCUGGGCCUGUACUGACGCUCAUGCACGAAAGCGUGGGGAGCAAACAGGAUUAGAUACCCUGGUAGUCCACGCCCUAAACGAUGUCAACUGGUUGUUGGGUCUUCAUUGACUCAGUAACGAAGCUAACGCGUGAAGUUGACCGCCUGGGGAGUACGGCCGCAAGGUUGAAACUCAAAUGAAUUGGCGGGG
rnacentral:rRNA from 1 species